GAAGGCAAUCACGCCCGGUGGCGUGGCCGGGCUUCAAACCCGGUUGGGGACGGCAGCCGUUCCUGGGUGAGUUCGACUCUCACUGCCUUCC
rnacentral:tRNA from 1 species